AAAAAAAAAUCAUGAAAUCGUUUCCAUCGCUGAGUACGAGAAAUUACCGACCGAAGUCCUGAAAAUCGCUCAAAUCUGCAAAUUACACAAUGAAAAAUACGAGCUUUUCUGUAGAAAACACGACUGUCCGUGCUGUAAGAAAUGUGUGAAAUCUCACAACGAUUGUAAGGGUUUAACCGAUAUUAAUGAAAUCACAAAAAAUGUAAAACCUUCAAACGCCUUUUAUGAAAUCGAACAAACCCUGCUUGAAGUCACCGAGAAUUUUAAACAACUCAGCGAUAACCGGAAAGAAAAUUUGAACUCGCUUCGAGACAAGAAAAGAGAAAUUGAAGCCGCAAUAACAAGAACCAGAAUCAAAAUAAACGACCAUCUUGAUAAACUUCAGGAUGAUUUUAUGAAAGAAUUAAUGGCAGUUGAACAAAAAGAAAGCAGCAAAAUACAAAAAUUAUUGACUACCCUGAUAAAGAAGGAAAAAGAAAUCAGUGAGGUACAAGAAAACAUUGCUAGUAUUAAACAGCAUGCGUCCGAGCUUCAAACAUUUUUAUCAAUGAAAGACAUCGAAAAAGAUAUCGCAGUGGGAGAACAAUUUAUUCAAACCAUUACCACAAGUGACACAACUAAUCAAGUCAAUAUUUCAUGUCAAAAUAACAAGGCUUUACAGGAAAUCACUGCCAGCGUGCAGACGUUCGGGGAAAUAAAUGUCAGUUCUGAUCCAUGUGAUUAUACCAUUCAGAGACGGAAGGACAGAGAAGCCCAGAUUAUGGUAUCACCGUCAACCAGAAAUAUCGACAACCUUACUUUGACAUUACAGAAACGUAUCGAUACAGGAUUGUCAGACGUCCGAGGUUGUUCCCUGCUUCCUGGUGGUAGGAUGGUAUUCUCCUGUCAUGAGCAAGAUAAAAUAAGAGUAAUCAAAUUAGACGGAUCAAUAGAUUUCGAAAUCAGUAAGAUUGGUGUUACGUUUGAUGUGGUAUUUAUCGGUGAUGAUGAUAUUGCUGUUACAUCUGGUAGUUCAGAAACAAUUAAUAUAAUCGACUUAAAGAAACAAAAACUGAAGAAAUCAAUAAAAGUAAAGUCAUUCAACGAUGGAGUAGUAUACAAAGACGGAUAUUUGAUUUAUUGUGCCAGGGA
rnacentral:lncRNA from 1 species